AUUGAACGCUGGCGGCAGGCUUAACACAUGCAAGUCGAACGAGACCUUCGGGUCUAGUGGCGCACGGGUGCGUAACGCGUGGGAAUCUGCCCUUUGCUACGGAAUAACUCAGAGAAAUUUGUGCUAAUACCGUAUAAUGUCUACGGACCAAAGAUUUAUCGGCAAAGGAUGAGCCCGCGUAAGAUUAGCUUGUUGGUGGGGUAAAGGCCUACCAAGGCGACGAUCUUUAGCUGGUCUGAGAGGAUGAUCAGCCACACUGGGACUGAGACACGGCCCAGACUCCUACGGGAGGCAGCAGUGGGGAAUAUUGGACAAUGGGCGAAAGCCUGAUCCAGCAAUGCCGCGUGAGUGAUGGAGGCCUUAGGGUUGUAAAGCUCUUUUACCAGGGAUGAUAAUGACAGUACCUGGAGAAUAAGCUCCGGCUAACUUCGUGCCAGCCGCCGCGGUAA
rnacentral:rRNA from 1 species